AUGAACGCUGGCGGCGUGCCUAAUACAUGCAAGUCGAGCGAACGGACGAGAAGCUUGCUUCUCUGAUGUUAGCGGCGGACGGGUGAGUAACACGUGGAUAACCUACCUAUAAGACUGGGAUAACUUCGGGAAACCGGAGCUAAUACCGGAUAAUAUUUUGAACCGCAUGGUUCCAAAGUGAAAGACGGUCCUGCUGUCACUUAUAGAUGGAUCCGCGCUGCAUUAGCUAGUUGGUAAGGUAACGGCUUACCAAGGCAACGAUGCAUAGCCGACCUGAGAGGGUGAUCGGCCACACUGGAACUGAGACACGGUCCAGACUCCUACGGGAGGCAGCAGUAGGGAAUCUUCCGCAAUGGGCGAAAGCCUGACGGAGCAACGCCGCGUGAGUGAUGAAGGUCUUCGGAUCGUAAAACUCUGUUAUUAGGGAAGAACAUAUGUGUAAGUAACUGUGCACAUCUUGACGGUACCUAAUCAGAAAGCCACGGCUAACUACGUG
rnacentral:rRNA from 1 species